rnacentral:lncRNA from 1 species
UCCUCUCUCGUUUCCGGCCGGGUGCUGUGAUCCACCACGGCCGGCCGGCAGUCGCCCCCCCUCCUCUCUCUCUCCCGUUUACUCUCUCCCUCUGAAUCUCUUCUGCUCCUCCUCUCUCUGUUCCGGCACCGAGGCCUGUUGCGGCUAUCGCGGCUGUUCCUUUCCUCCGGCGGCCGUUGGCCCCUCUGACGGUCGGCGCCGGGCCCCUUUCCGUCCCUGUCCUGUCUUCCCCCUCCCUCUCUUCUCUUUGAGUUCCGGUCCCUAUCGGCGGAUUUCUCCCUCCGGCGGGCGCCGGACGGCGGAAGACCAGGUCCCCCUCUUUCUCCCUCUGCGCCGGUCCUGUUGAGAUGGGCCAGCUCUCUCUCUCUCUUCCUACGGUUGCCGGAUGGAGGUCAUUCCCUCUUCCGCUCUCCCGCUGGUUCACCUUCCUCCCUUCCUCCCUCUCUCUUGUUUUCUCUCUCCCCUUCCCCCAACCCUCUGUUUCUUCCUCUUCGCUGGACCUUUCGGCAGUCGCCGGUCUGUUGCCAGUCUCGGCCUUUCUCGGCGUUUCUCUCCUCUCUUAGAUGCCUGACAGAUCCGAUCAUUUGGGCAGCCGUUUCCCUUCCCUAGGCUGGUCGACGAUGCUCUCCUCCUCCAAGACGUGGUGGUCGACGAUGCUCUCCGCUCUGCGCUCCUCUCCCUCGGGUGUGGUGGUUGAUGACGGUCUCCUCUCGGCGUUCCGCUCCUGUCGUGGAGAUUCUUUUGAAUUUUAAUUUUUAAAAUUUGAAAGUUAGUGUUUUUAUGUAUUGGAGGUUUUGAAUUUAAAAUGUCUAAAAGAAAAAAAAGUAUAGUAGUUCAGCAUGUUUCAUGAUCCCUGAUUUUGCGAUCUUGUGGAUGAAAUUAUCCCGGAAACCAUGAU